rnacentral:lncRNA from 1 species
UUUUAUCUCUUGUUUUUUAAAUAUAAGUGAUGCUCCCUCUUUCUCAAGUUCAUAUUUCUAAAAGGUUAGAAAACAAAUUGUGAGUUCUAUAUAUGGGUCAGAACACAAGAGUAGUUUAAUAAUUUGACUGGAUAGACACUUACUAGGAACCAUAAGAAUUAUCUCGGUGCAUAAAACAAACCAUUUGGAAAAUUUCUAACCCACAUUCUAAACUCGUUUAAAGUAGUUACUAGGUUGAUAAGUUUGCAGCAAACCUCUGUAUGUGAGGGUGCCAAAUACAUUAUUUUUCACGAAAGAAGUUACAGCAUCCUAGAGAAAAUACAGAAUUUCAGAAUGAAGCCUCUCACUAAUGAUGCCAGUUCACAGAACACAUCUGAAUAUUCACAACCAGUGACCAUCUGGAAAGCCAUACUGUCCAGUCUGACAAUUCUAUGGCUCUGGCUGCCCCAUUUCUCCCCACUGGAUAACACAUUUACAUGUGAGGGAAUGUUCCAUUUGGCCUUUUUCUUUGUUGUAUCAUCUCUGUUGUUUAGGUUAUGAUGUCAUUUGGCAGCAACCUUCAGCUGAUAGCUGGACAUGGUUAACACAGCUGGCCAAUUUCAUCUCAGAACAACACAACUAUGUAAAAUGGAGUCUGGGCUUUUCAAAAUCCAAGAGCAAGGAGUUGUAUGGCUGGAUUUUAUAUGAGAUUUAUCGAAAACUGUUAAAACUUUCUAAAAGAAAGGAGAUGAAGGUAAAGCCAAUUCUAUAAAACACCAAACUGCAAACAGAGCAGUUAGGAACCAACUUUCUUCCUAAAAGAGCAGUAACAGAAUUUGUUUCCUAGCUUGUCAGCAUCUGACGAGAUGAUCUGACAGAAAUGGUCUUUUUUCAACGGGAAACAUCUAAGGAGUUGGAAGAGGCAGACAGGAUGUAGCUCAGAGUUGGGGAAACAGCCAGAGUCUGCUUGGAUGGGAUGCUGACACUAAAGAGAACGCAGAGAUACACAUGACUCUUUCAUCUACUUUCAACCUUGGAAGAGUCCAGCACAGACAGGUCAUGCCAGAUGUAGAAGAUCCAAUGGAGAAUUCUGAGGCCCAAGGUGAUUUUAGAACUACUACACGGAAGGAGCCUGCCCAGACAUCUGCACUGUACUGUGAUCUGGUGCAGAUUGAGAAUUCUAGCAGUUUGGGAGAAGUUAAAGCCUCUCAACAGGGAACACUGCAUUUAAAGGAUCCUGUAAACUGCAGCACCAGGAAAACCAUAGUCCAAGUCUUCAUUCUUCAGCUUGCAGUCACGUCACCACCAUAUGCUGUACACUAGAGUAUUUAUGGCUUGAAUCACACAUGGAGCCAGUCUUAUCUCAGGCAACCAUGCUGUCUGCAUCAGUAUAAGAUAAAACUGUGCUAAUGACAGGAGGGCAUGUUUAAAUGUACGUUUCCAUGUAUGGGAUAAAAUACUUCGUCAAAUGAAGCUUGGUCAAAUGAAGCUUCAUGCUACUUCUCUGUGAAUGUGGUAUUUAUUUUAUGGGGCAGCAAAGGCAGGGAUUAGCUUCAUUUUUGCAUCUGAUUCUAGGCAGAUAGUGAUGCUAAAAGGUUAAUGCUUAAGUUACUGUCUUUCAGUUACUAUCUAACAGCAGGACAAUGCUCUUAGAGUUUAUGGAAUUAUUAGCUACUUUUUAGUCUGCUUGAAACUGGAAUGCCAUACCUUGCCAGUUAUUUUAGCUCCACUCUGCUCCUACUAAGUAAGGUCAUUUUUGGUACAGUGAUUUGUUAGACAAGACAAGUAAGAUUCAAAUACAAGAUUUGUCACUGUGGGUUUCACUUCUGUCCAUCUGAUGACCAGGCUGCUCUGGCUCUGUGCUUAUAUAUUGGGAAGAAUUUGCUAGGCUCUUGAAGUUAUCCUUAAUGCCAUCUUUCUCUCUGAAGACAAUGGUUUCAUUUUUUAACAAUAUCCUGUGGGGGAAGCCUGACCCAGAGAACUGUUUAAGAUACCCAUAUUCUCCAUCCUGAGGCAGGAAAAGAAUUCUGAAAAGGCUGUAGGGAUUGGAACUCUCAGACUGUGGGACAGAAAAAUUAGCACAGUAACUUCCUUCUCCACUUUUGUGGGUUAACCCAAAACUGUUAUCUGAACUACAAAUUCCUUAAGAUUAGGGAUUGUAUCUUUUUUGUUUUUGUAUCUCUAGUACCCAGUUUAAUGCCUCAGUAAGUGAUGAAUAAACAAAUGAAUGCAUACAUGCACAAACAAAUUAUGUGUCCUCUUUUUGGUCCUCCAUUUC